GUGAAAUGAGGGAGUUGCAUUAGAUGCUC
rnacentral:piRNA from 1 species